ACGAACGCUGGCGGCAUGCCUAACACAUGCAAGUCGAACGAGACCUUCGGGUCUAGUGGCGCCCGGGUGCGUAACGCGUGGGAACCUGCCCUUAGGUUCGGAAUAACUCCCCGAAAGGGGUGCUAAUACCGGAUAAUGUCUUCGGACCAAAGAUUUAUCGCCUUUGGAUGGGCCCGCGUUGGAUUGGCUAGUUGGUAGGGUAAAAGCCUACCAAGGCGACGAUCCAUAGCUGGUCUGAGAGGAUGAUCAGCCACACUGGGACUGAGACACGGCCCAGACUCCUACGGGAGGCAGCAGUGGGGAAUAUUGGACAAUGGGCGAAAGCCUGAUCCAGCAAUGCCGCGUGAGUGAUGAAGGCCUUAGGGUUGUAAAGCUCUUUUACCCGGGAUGAUAAUGACAGUACCGGGAGAAUAAGCUCCGGCUAACUCCGUG
rnacentral:rRNA from 1 species